CACAGCUCCAAGAACCUUGUAAAGCAUGAAGAAGGACCAUGUAGACAGAUUUUUUUGGAAAAAAAAUUCAAGAAGAUCUAGGGGAAAGACAGCUUCUAAAGGGGAUCAAACUCAGGACCUUGUGCUUUUGAGGCAGGCGUGAUGCCACUGAGGUGGUCAAUUGAUCCAGCAGAACUGAGGAUUGGUUUGUGAAAAAUUUGGGGCAUUUUUCCUUCCUUCAGCCUCUCUUUCUAACUCGAGGUAGGUUUGCUGACAGUGAUCCAUCAGCCAAGUCCAAUAAAUUUAGACUUAAGAUUUUUUGGAUGUUGGAUGAACACUGUGUGCAAUUUGAGAUGGCUGGUUUGGUGCAGCCUUUCAUAUCCUGGUCACAGAAAGUACCAAAUCUUUGUUGGCUCAA